rnacentral:rRNA from 1 species
UACGGGGGGAGCAAGCGUUGUUCGGAUUUACUGGGCGUAAAGGGCGCGUAGGCGGCCACCGCAAGUCAAUUGUGAAAUCUCCGGGCUUAACUCGGAAAGGUCAACUGAUACUGCGGGGCUAGAGUGCGGAAGGGGCAACUGGAAUUCUCGGUGUAGCGGUGAAAUGCGUAGAUAUCGAGAGGAACACCUGCGGCGAAGGCGGGUUGCUGGGCUGACACUGACGCUGAUGCGCGAAAGCUAGGGGAGCGAACGGG